AUCUCAUGGUUUGGGCAUUUGGCCAACAUUCUAUGGAUCUUUCCCAUACUUCAUGAAGGGGCUCGCCGUUCUUUUGCCUAAAAUUCAUAAUUUUAUUUCUUGAGUC
rnacentral:snoRNA from 1 species